AUGGGCGCCGAGCCGGACCAGCCCCCCUCCCCGCCCCCGCCGGAGCGGACCGCGUCGCCGGAGCGCGACGCCCUCCGCAGCGACGACCGGGACUGGAAGGCGGAGAUGAUGUCGGCGCUGGGGGAGUCGGUCUCCUUCGGCCGGUUCCUCGCCGAGCCGCUCGAGUGGGGCCGGUGGUCGGCGUUCGAGCACAACCGCUACCUCGAGGAGGCCGCGGGGCAGUCCCGCCCCGGAUCCGUCGCGCAGAAGAAGGCCUUCUUCGAGGAGCACUACGCCAGGAAGCGGAAGAGCGCCGAUGUCGAGGACGAGGAGGGCGACGAGGGGCGCGAUGCUGAUGCGGACGGUGCGUACGGCGAGGCCUGGUCGGCGGGCUCCUCGUGCAUGACGGACGAGCCCGCGGGGGAGGAGACCGGCGGCGUAGAUUCGGGUGCUCCGGAUGAUUGCGGCGCCGUCGCCGAUGCCGCUGCGCCGCCGGUGGAAGCGCCUCAGGAGCUGGAGGCCGUUGCGGACGGCGCUGCUCCAUCUUGCCGCUUGGAUAGCACGGACGAGCAGCGUGGUGUGCAGGUUGCUGAAGCGAGAAAGGGGCUGCAGUUGGAUACUGAAUGUGCCCUGGCUGCUGUUGAUGCCGUUGAGAAGCAACCGUUGCAGGAGAGUUCGAUUGUCAACCAGGGUGUGGCAGAUUCUGUGGAGAAGAAGAGGCAUCCAAUGUCGUCGCUAUUUCAGAAGCCUGCAGAAUUCAGUUCUCCCCCAUCAGGAAAGAAAGUGCCGUCUUCAUCAGCCAAAAGGCGGUCCAUGCUUCGUCCUGCAAAGGAAAACAGCUCACCAUUUCCUGCUACUGACAGUAACAAGCAAGAAGAGACUUCAGUUGCUCAGAAAGGGUCGAUACUGGGUACACUGAACUUCAGGAGAUGUGAAAUAGGCGAUCCUGCCUCCAGAUCAAGAAAUCUUGGCUCCAGGAUUGCUUCAAGGAUUAGUCAGCUAGAGUCUGCAAGUAGGCUGGUGAAAGAUAUUCAUCCUAAGGUGAACAAACAGAGGCGGACAAGCAAGGGGUUCUGCAAAGACAUUCCAGAAACAGCUUCCAUAACAACUCAGCAGCAUGAACAAAGGUCUCCAUAUGUCAGUGUGACAAGGGUCAAAGAAAAGUUUUUUGGUUCAACUGCGCCACCGAUGCAUCUGGAAACAAAUAUAGAUAAAGAAAAUAUGGGAAAAGCGAACGAUGAAGCUGGAUUGAAAGAAAUGCAUCAAAGCGUUCGUUUCAAGGCCAGGUCACUGCCAAAUUUUUAUUGGAGAAGUAAAGAAUCAAAGGAUUCAAGGCAGGGGGCACGAGAGACCCACCAAAAUCCGCCGAACAGCGAUCAUAGACUGAAUGAUGAUGCCAGUGACCCACACGGAAUGAGCAGAGGAGCCUCGAAGGACAAACAAAUAUGUUGCUUCCCACUUAUAAGGCGGUAG
rnacentral:rRNA from 1 species